UACGGAGGAUUCAAGCGUUAUCCGGAUUUAUUGGGUUUAAAGGGUGCGUAGGCGGGACCUUAAGUCAGCGGUAAAAUUGCGGUGCUCAACGCCGUAGAGCCGUUGAAACUGGGGUUCUUGAGUGAGCGAGAAGUAUGCGGAAUGCGUGGUGUAGCGGUGAAAUGCAUAGAUAUCACGCAGAACUCCGAUUGCGAAGGCAGCAUACCGGCGCUCAACUGACGCUCAUGCACGAAAGCGUGGGGAGCAAACAGG
rnacentral:rRNA from 1 species